rnacentral:rRNA from 1 species
AUACGGAAGGUCCGGGCGUUAUCCGGAUUUAUUGGGUUUAAAGGGAGCGCAGGCGGAGAUGCAAGCGUGACGUCAAAUUUCGGGGCUCAACCCCGUCUCGCGUCGCGAACUGCGUCCCUUGGUUGCGGGAAGGGGAGGCGGAACUCGUGGUGUAGCGGUGAAAUGCAUAGAUAUCACGAAGAACUCCGAUCGCGAAGGCAGCCUUCCGGCCCGUCAACGACGCUCAUGCUCGAAGGUGCGGGUAUCAAACAGGAUUAGAUACCCUGGUAGUCCGCACAGUAAACGAUGGACACCCGCGGUUUGGCCUGUAUGGCUGAGCCGCCAAGCGAAAGCGUUAAGUGUCCCACCUGGGGAGUGCACCGGCAACGGUGAAACUCAAAGGAAUUGACGGGG